rnacentral:rRNA from 1 species
UACGUAGGGUGCAAGCGUUGUCCGGAAUUAUUGGGCGAAAGAGCUCGUAGGCGGUCUGUCGCGUCGGAUGUGAAAACCCAGGGCUCAACCCUGGGCCUGCAUUCGAUACGGGCAGACUAGAGUUCGGUAGGGGAGACUGGAAUUCCUGGUGUAGCGGUGAAAUGCGCAGAUAUCAGGAGGAACACCGGUGGCGAAGGCGGGUCUCUGGGCAGUAACUGACGCUGAGGAGCGAAAGCGUGGGGAGCGAACAGG